AGUGAUGUAUAAAGAGCUGUACAUAUUUAAUGUAUGAAUGUCAUGAGUUUUGAGGUGAGUAUAUAUCUGUGAAACCAUCAUGCCAAUCUAUGUAAUAAACAUAUCACCUCCAGAUGAUUCCUCUUGCCCUGAGAAAAGUUAUGUUUUGGGAAAUAAAAUUUGUCAGUUCUUGGUGUUUAUGGAUUGGUGGGCUUCAGGGUCACCUGUCAGCCCUUCUACGCACUGUAUGCUCUCCCAGCCUUACCCAUCUUUGCCUUCAGCUCCAAUUGCCAUAUUUCUCUCAGUAGCUCUAAAAUAUAUAUCAUCUGUCUCAUCUCUUUAGAGACUCAGUUCGGGUCCCGUGUCUGACCUCUGGACGCUGAUAUUUAAGCUCUUAACAUGGGUCACAAGUCUUUCAAGUUCUGAUAACAGUCUACCUUUUUAGCCUCAUCUUGCUGCACUAUUUUGAUUUUCUGUAUGUGAUGAUAUCUUCCUGUGUGAUCUUCUCUGCGUGUGGUGGGUGAUAUCUUCCUGUGUGAUCUUCUCUGCAUGCGGUGGGUACAUCUUUCUAUGUGAUCUUCUCUGCGUGUGGUGGGUGAUAUCUUCCUGUGUGAUCUUCUCUGCGUGUGGUGGGUGAUAUCUUCCUGUGUGAUCUUCUCUGCAUGCGGUGGGUACAUCUUUCUAUGUGAUCUUCUCUGCGUGUGGUGGGUGAUAUCUUCCUGUGUGAUCUUCUCUGCGUGUGGUGGGUGAUAUCUUCCUGUGUGAUCUUCUCUGCGUGUGGUGGGUGAUAUCUUCCUGUGUGAUCUUCUCUGCGUGGGGUGGGUGAUAUCUUCCUAUGUGAUCUUCUCUGCGUGGGGUGGGUGAUAUCUUCCUAUGUGAUCUUCUCUGCGUGUGGUGGGUGAUAUCUUCCUGUGUGAUCUUCUCUGCGUGUGGUGGGUGCAUCUUUCUAUGUGAUCUUCUCUGCGUGGGGUGGGUGAUAUCUUCCUGUGUGAUCUUCUCUGCAUGCGGUGGGUACAUCUUUCUAUGUGAUCUUCUCUGCGUGUGGGGCGUCACUUGCACUUUGUUGAAAAGAGAAGAAAAGAAUGAGCAACAAACGCCGGGAAGAAACCGUAGUUUUAUUGACGACGCAUCUCAGGAAGUUAAAACGUUUAGACACCCAAGGGCCCCAUACGCCACCUGAACUCAAGUAAAUGUGAAAGUCUAGGUUUGAAAAGUAAAUAUAGCUUUUGAAAUAGGAGCUAUGAUAUUUCAAACUUAGGAGAAGAUAGAGCAUGGAAAUAACUUUUUAAAAUACAGUGAACAUUUUGUCCAAGGAGUUUUCAUGGGGAAUAGAAUAGGUUACAUGUGUUUGUAGAAAGAGAGAGACAGAUAAACAUAAUAUUUAAUCCAAUACAUUCUCAGUGGUGACUUUAAGUUUGGAAAGGAAA